rnacentral:rRNA from 1 species
AAUGCUGAAAGAGAAAUGAAAUAACCCAGUUAAGCAUAGAAAAGCAGAGAUUAACUCUCGUACCUUUUGCAUCAUGAUUUAGCAAGUUCAUCCAAGCAAAAAGCAUUUUAGUUUGUUUUCCCGAAACUAGACGAGCUACUCCAGGACAGCCUAACAGUAGGGCACACCCGUCUCUGUGGCAAAAGAGUGGGAAGAUCUUUGAGUAGAGGUGAUAAACCUACCGAGCCUAGUUAUAGCUGGUUGCCUGGGAACUAAAUAUAAGUUUAGCCUCUUGUCUUCUUUUGCCAAAAAUGGAUAACCUUAUUACAGGCUUUGAGAAUACAUUGAGAGUUAGUCAGAAGGGGGACAGCCCUUCUGAAUUAAGAUACAACUUUUUUAACUGGAUAAUAAUCAUAUACAUUUAAGGUUCAUGUUUAGGUGGGCCUAAAAGCAGCCACCCUGAAAGAUAGCGUUAAAGCUCAUACAUAACUUAAGCCAACUAUACCGAUAAUUAAUUAUAAUCCGCUAAAAUUACCAGGCCCUUCUAUCCUCCGAUAGAAAGGAUCAUGCUAAUAUGAGUAAUAAGAGAAUUCAUUUCUCUCCCUGCAUAAGUGUAAAUCUGAACGGAACAACCACAGAAUAUUAACGGUCCCAACCCAAGAGGGUAUUAAAGCUAAAAUAGAAAACAGGAAAUAUCUUUAUACAUUUACCGUUACCCCUACACUGGAAUGCAAGUUUGGAAAGACUAAAAGGGUAAGAAGGAACUCGGCAAAUUUCCAAAGAAGCCUCGCC